UCGAGGUCAGGUCAUCGCAUUGCGAGCAUCCGGCGCUGACCAGUCCACCACAUGUUCGUUGUGGACGGUUCAAGAGAUAUAUCAAAAAACUCUUACUAGCAAUGUGCCCAAUCGUUGCAACGGAUCAAAAGUUCACAAACUUGAAAGAAAACCCUCUCGUUUCGAUAUACUCCCUCCGUCCCGAAAUUCAUAUCGCAGCAGUCAUUUUGCAAUUUAGUCCUCAGCCUUUUCCCGACCGAACCCGAAGUCCCUCUGUGUAGUCGCUCUCUUCCUCCUUCCUCUGCAACCGGCCGGCACCGCCGACGCCGUUCCCCUCCGCGCAGCUCCGUGCUGCUUGCACCUCCUCUCCCUCCCCCGCAGUUCCUCUCCCUCCCCAGCGUCGGCGCCCUCUCCCUUGCACGCGUUGCCGGCGCUCUCUUCCUCUCGCAUGUCCCUCCGCAUCGGUGAAAAUCCGAUUUUCCCCCUCUGGCUCUUCGAUCUGCAGUGGCCGUGCUCAAUCUGCGGCGGAGACUACCAAGACGGCAUGACAGAGCUGGUUCUGCCGGUCGCCUGCACGGGGCUGCUGCUGGUCGCCAGGUCUGACUAUGACGUGGCUACGGCCACGCAGCAGCGGCGGCGGGAUGGUGGCGGCGAGCUCCGACAUGUUCCUCCAUCCGCUCUAGGACUCCACCGCCAAGCACACCAACCUCAAGGCAUAUGAUGUGCACCCUUGGUCGUCCGGUCCGACGAACUGCUAAAGAAACUAUGCCCAACGUCGUGAGUGUGCUCACGUUCUGCAAUCAAGCAACCGCCCUCCUCCGUUCUCCUCCAGCAGCAGCAAAAGGAGGAACUGGAGCAACUCCGCUUGCCAGAUGAGAUUUGAGCACGAAGCUCCUUAACUCGAAGGCCGGAGUGAACAAAGAUCCCAGCAAUCAUGUGUUGCCAAGGACACUAAAUAAUCUCGAGUGAAGUUGGAAGCCAUUGGAUCUUUUUCGAACCGCAACUAGCAGGACAUCAACUCAAAAAUUAUCAAGUGCAUUCCUAGAAAAUUAUCUGAUGAUUAAAAGAAGAAAAUCUUGUCUGAUUUUGAUCUGCUCCAAAAUUAACAGUGAAUUUGAUUGAAUUUCAGAGAGUGCAGAGGAGCAGCAGUAGCAACAACAACACGGGCACGGGACAAGCAGGCGACAGGGGAGAAUCACGGGGGACAGCAGAGCUCCACCAGCAGGAGCUCGAGGAGAAGCAGCAGUGGGAGCUCGGGAAGAAGCAGCAACCGGAGCUCAAGGAGAAGCAACAGCGAGAGCUUGAGGACGCGCGGGAGAGCAGUUCUGGGCAGCGGCGGAAGCGCAGAUCUUGGCGGCGGCGCAGGUAUGGGCGGCGGCGGAAGAGCAGUUCUGGGCGGCGGUGGCAGAGCAGUUGGGCGGCAACGCACGUCUGGGCGGCGGGAGGGGAUCGAGGCCGCGGAGGAGACGCCCCUAGGAAUCGCGGCUGGAGGGGACCGCAGCUGGCCGGCGCCUGCCCCUGGCAACGCUCGGGCGACGAGCAGAGGAAGAAGACGGGGCAGAGGGGUCUGUUUGAGACAAUUAUCAGAUGACGAGGUUUUGUUUGCAAAUUUACCAAUGAACUGGGCGUGCGACAUUAAUUUCGGGACGGAGGGAGUACAUAUAUACCACUAAAAAUAUAUUACAUUUCACUCACAAUAUAUUUCUCUGGCUGUUCUGAUGA